rnacentral:rRNA from 1 species
AGUGAACGCUGGCGGUAGGCCUAACACAUGCAAGUCGAACGGCAGCACAGUAAGAGCUUGCUCUUACGGGUGGCGAGUGGCGGACGGGUGAGGAAUACAUCGGAAUCUACUUUUUCGUGGGGGAUAACGUAGGGAAACUUACGCUAAUACCGCAUACGACCUACGGGUGAAAGCAGGGGAUCUUCGGACCUUGCGCGAUUGAAUGAGCCGAUGUCGGAUUAGCUAGUUGGCGGGGUAAAGGCCCACCAAGGCGACGAUCCGUAGCUGGUCUGAGAGGAUGAUCAGCCACACUGGAACUGAGACACGGUCCAGACUCCUACGGGAGGCAGCAGUGGGGAAUAUUGGACAAUGGGCGCAAGCCUGAUGCAGCAAUGCCGCGUGAGUGAAGAAGGCCUUCGGGUUGUAAAGCCCUUUUGUUAGGAAAGAAAAGAAGCAGGUUAAUACCCCGAUGUUCUGACGGUACCCAAAGAAUAAGCACCGGCUAACUUCGUG